GAUGAACGCUGGCGGCGUGCCUAAUACAUGCAAGUCGAGCGAAUGGAUUAAGAGCUUGCUCUUAUGAAGUUAGCGGCGGACGGGUGAGUAACACGUGGGUAACCUGCCCAUAAGACUGGGAUAACUCCGGGAAACCGGGGCUAAUACCGGAUAACAUUUUGAACCGCAUGGUUCGAAAUUGAAAGGCGGCUUCGGCUGUCACUUAUGGAUGGACCCGCGUCGCAUUAGCUAGUGGGUGAGGUAACGGCGCACCAAGGCAACGAUGCGUAGCCGACAUGGGAGGGGGAUAGGCCACACUGGGACUGAGACACGGCCCAGACUCCUACGGGAGGCAGCAGUAGGGAAUCUUCCGCAAUGGACGAAAGUCUGACGGAGCAACGCCGCGUGAGUGAUGAAGGCUUUCGGGUCGUAAAACUCUGUUGUUAGGGAAGAACAAGUGCUAGUUGAAUAAGCUGGCACCUUGACGGUACCUAACCAGAAAGCCACGGCUAACUACGUGCCAGCAGCCGCCGUAA
rnacentral:rRNA from 1 species